AGAAGGCGCUUGUCCUGCCAAAGCAAAGCACCGUGCUUUACAGCUACUGGAAGAGCAGUCCUGAGAAACAAAGCCCCGAUUUUUUAUAGCCACCGGGGAAACCAGAGCCCACUUCCUUCCUCCAGGACCAGGGCUUUAUUGAUGCGGAUCAUCUUGUUUCAGGGCUGACCUGCUGCCAUCCCUCCAAGAGAGACAGGAGAAAGAUUGAAGCUCUCUCAGGGAAUUCAUCAAAGGUUUUUCUGUUCAGGUUACCAAACUGUUACAAAGAACUCUCUUAUGGAUCUCUUUCUCUUUCUUUUCUUUUCUUUUUCUCUUUCCUUUCUUUCUUUUCGUUCUUCCUUUCUUUUCCUCUUGCUUUCUCUUUUUCUUUCUUCUUGCUUUCUCUUUUUCUUUCUUCCUUCUCUUUCUUGCUUUCUCUCUUUUUUCUUUCUUCCUUCUUUCUUUCUUCUUUCUCCUCUUCCUUCUUUCCUUUCCUUCCUUCCUUUCUUUCUUUUCUUUCAUUCUUUCCUUCCUUCCUUUCCUCUUUCUUUCUCUUUCUUCUUUCUUCCUCUCCUUUUUUUCUUUCUUUUCUUCUUUCUCUUCUUCCUUCUUUCCCUUCCUUCCUCUCUCUCUUUCUCUUUCUUUCCUUCCUGCCUUUUUCCUUCCUUCCCUUUCCUUCCUUUCUUUUUCUUUCUUUCUUUCAUUUUUU
rnacentral:lncRNA from 10 species